rnacentral:rRNA from 1 species
UACGAAGGGGGCUAGCGUUGUUCGGAAUUACCGGGCGUAAAGGGCGCGUAGGCGGUACUUCAAGUCAGGCGUGAAAGCCCCGGGCUCAACCUGGGAACCGCGCUUGAGACUGGAGAACUAGAGUUCGGGAGAGGAUGGUGGAAUUCCCAGUGUAGAGGUGAAAUUCGUAGAUAUUGGGAAGAACACCGAUGGCGAAGGCAGCCAUCUGGACCGACACUGACGCUGAGGCGCGAAAGCGUGGGGAGCAAACAGG